UACGUAGGUGACCAGCGUUGUCCGGAUUUACUGGGCGUAAAGAGCGCGCAGGCGGUCGUUCAAGUCGAGUGUGAAAGCCCCCGGCUCAACUGGGGAGGGUCACUCGAUACUGAUCGACUUGAAGGCAGGAGAGGGAAGCGGAAUUCCCGGUGUAGUGGUGAAAUGCGUAGAUAUCGGAAGGAACAUCAGUGGCGAAAGCGGCCUUCUGGACGGUGACUGACGCUGAGACGCGAAAGCGUGGGGAGCAAACAGG
rnacentral:rRNA from 1 species